AUGUCGAUAGAAACAGAGAUAGACAGAGGUGGUCAGAUUCAAGCUGUGACACAGGAGCCAAAACUGUUUAUCAUCUCUGUGAAGGCGCUCAAAGGACGACUGAGUAGACUUCCUGCUGCUGGUGUGGGUGACAUGGUGACGGCCACAGUGAAGAAACACAACCCGGAGCUCAGAAAGAAGGUACAUCCAGCAGUAGUAAUUCCACAACGAAAAUCAUACUGGAGAAAAGAUGAAUUAGUAGAAGCAGAGGGGGCGGCCGGACCGAGCGAGCGCCCGCGCGUGUGGCCUGAGGGGAAGCCGCUGCCCGCCCCCUUCGCCUUCCCUUCUCUCCCCCUCCCCGCUCUGCCCCCUCCCCCGCCCCGACCGCGGAGCAGCACCUUGUCGGCGCUGGCGGCCAAAGUCAGUAAAAAGGAGCUCAACUCCAACCACGACGGGGCCGACGAGACCUCAGAAAAAGAACAGCAAGAAGCAAUUGAACAUAUUGAUGAAGUACAAAAUGAAAUAGACAGACUUAACAAACAAGCCAGUGAGGAGAUUUUGAAAGUAGAACAGAAAUAGAACAAACUCCGCCAACCAUUUUUUCAGAAGAGGUCGGAAUUGAUCGCCAAAAUCCCCAAUUUUUGGGUAACAACAUUUGUCAACCAUCCACAAGUGUCUGCACUGCUUGGGGAGGAGGAUGAAGAGGCGCUGCAUUAUUUGACAAGAGUUGAAGUGACAGAAUUUGAAGAUAUUAAAUCAGGUUACAGAAUAGAUUUUUAUUUUGAUGAAAACCCUUACUUCGAAAAUAAAGUUCUCUCCAAAGAAUUUCAUCUGAAUGAGAGUGGUGAUCCAUCUUCAAAGUCCACCGAAAUCAAAUGGAAAUCUGGAAAGGAUUUGACGAAACGUUCAAGUCAAACACAGAAUAAAGCCAGCAGGAAGAGACAGCAUGAGGAACCAGAGAGCUUCUUCACCUGGUUUACUGACCAUUCUGAUGCAGGUGCAGAUGAGUUAGGAGAGGUCAUCAAAGAUGAUAUGUGGCCAAAUCCAUUACAGUACUACUUGGUUCCCGAUAUGGAUGAUGAAGAAGGGGAAGGAGAAGAAGAUGAUGAUGAUGAUGAAGAAGAAGAAGGAUUGGAAGACAUUGAUGAAGAAGGAGAUGAGGAUGAAGGUGAAGAAGAUGAAGAUGAUGAUGAGGGGGAGGAAGGAGAGGAGGAUGAAGGAGAAGAUGACUAAUGGAACACUGAUGGAUUCCAACCUUCCUUUUUUAAUUUUCUUCAGUCCCUGGGAGCAAGUUGCCGUCUUUUUUUUUUUCCUCCUCUUGUGCUCAUUUGCCCUGUUUUUUGAAGUCUCUUUUCUCUCCCUUUAUACCAUGGUUCUCAACUUAUUUUGGGGGGAAAUACCUUGAGCAGAAUACAGUGGGAAAAGAAUCUCUACCCCUUUCUGUUCCAAAUUCAUUUUUAUCCCUUCCUGUCUCAACAAAAACUUUAUGGAAUCAACACCACCGUGCUCUGUGGGAAAAAGAAAAACCUUCUGCUCCCUUAGCUCUGCUGGAAGCUGGAGGGUGCUAGGCCCCUGUGUAGUAGUGCAUAGAAUUCUAGCUUUUUUCCUCCUUUCUCUGUAUAUUGGGCUCAGAGAUUACACUGUGUCUCUAUGUGAAUAUGGACAGUUAGCAUUUACCAACAUGUACCUGUCUACUUUCUCUUGUUUAAAAAAAAGAAAAAAAACUUUAAAAAAUGGGGUUAUAGAAGGACAGCAAAGGGUGGGUUUGAGAUGUUUGGGUGGGUUAAGUGGGCAUUUUGACAACAUGGCUUCUCCUUUGGCAUGUUUAAUUGUGAUGUUUAACGGACAUCCUUGCAGUUUAAGAUGACACUUUUAAAAUAAAACUCUCUCCUAAUGAUGACUUGAGCCCUGUGACUCGAUGGGAGAAUCAGCAGAACCUAUAGGAUCUUAUUUGGAAUUGACAUUCUCUAUUGUAAUUUUGUUCCUGUUUAUUUUUAAAUUUUCU